ensembl:antisense_RNA anr-21 ncRNA
UCUCAUGAUGACCGGGCCGAAGGCAUGAACCGAAAUUGUUCGCCAUCGAUAUCAAUUUUGAGAUCUCGAUCAGAAAAAAUUUCGUGUUUUUCAAAUGAACUGCACAAGACACAAACUUGAUAGAAAAAUAUGAACAAAAGUAGGAGAUCAAGAAACUAAAUCAAAAUCUUCAGCCUGUAACACCACUGGGAGCGUAUUGAACGUUUGUUUCCGUUACAUUUUUUAAUUCUGAAUAAUCUUGUGACAUCCGAAUAAAUAAUUAUAUUCAUC